rnacentral:rRNA from 1 species
UAAUACGAAGGGUGCAAGCGUUACUCGGAAUUACUGGGCGUAAAGGGUGCGUAGGUGGUUCGUUAAGUCUGUCGUGAAAGCCCCGGGCUCAACCUGGGAAUGGCGAUGGAAACUGGCGAGCUAGAGUGCGGUAGAGGAGAGUGGAAUUCCCGGUGUAGCAGUGAAAUGCGUAGAGAUCGGGAGGAACAUCAGUUGCGAAGGCGGCUCUCUGGACCAGCACUGACACUGAGGCACGAAAGCGUGGGGAGCAAACAGG